rnacentral:tRNA from 1 species
GGGGGUAUAGCUCAGUGGUAGAGCGCUUGCCUAGCAUGUAUGAGGCACUGGGUUUGAUUCUCAGCACUGCAU